rnacentral:rRNA from 1 species
AUUGAACGCUGGCGGCAGGCCUAACACAUGCAAGUCGAACGGUAACAGGAAGAAGCUUGCUUCUUUGCUGACGAGUGGCGGACGGGUGAGUAAUGCCUGGGAAACUGCCUGAUGGAGGGGGAUAACUACUGGAAACGGUAGCUAAUACCGCAUAACGUCGCAAGACCAAAGAGGGGGACCUUCGGGCCUCUUGCCAUCGGAUGUGCCCAGAUGGGAUUAGCUAGUAGGUGGGGUAACGGCUCACCUAGGCGACGAUCCCUAGCUGGUCUGAGAGGAUGACCAGCCACACUGGAACUGAGACACGGUCCAGACUCCUACGGGAGGCAGCAGUGGGGAAUAUUGCACAAUGGGCGCAAGCCUGAUGCAGCCAUGCCGCGUGUAUGAAGAAGGCCUUCGGGUUGUAAAGUACUUUCAGCGGGGAGGAAGGGAGUAAAGUUAAUACCUUUGCUCAUUGACGUUACCCGCAGAAGAAGCACCGGCUAACUCCGUG